AUUGAACGCUGGCGGAAUGCUUUACACAUGCAAGUCGAACGGCAGCACGGGGCAACCUGGUGGCGAGUGGCGAACGGGUGAGUAAUACAUCGGAACGUGCCCAAUCGUGGGGGAUAACGUAGCGAAAGUUACGCUAAUACCGCAUACGAUCUACGGAUGAAAGCGGGGGAUCGCAAGACCUCGCGCGAAUGGAGCGGCCGAUGUUAGAUUAGGUAGUUGGUGGGGUAAAGGCUCACCAAGCCGACGAUCUGUAGAUGGUCUGAGAGGACGACCAGCCACACUGGGACUGAGACACGGCCCAGACUCCUACGGGAGGCAGCAGUGGGGAAUUUUGGACAAUGGGCGCAAGCCUGAUCCAGCCAUUCCGCGUGCAGGAUGAAGGCCUUCGGGUUGUAAACUGCUUUUGUACGGAACGAAACGGUUCUCUCUAAUACAGGGGGCUAAUGACGGUACCGUAAGAAUAAGCACCGGCUAACUACGUGCCAGCCGCCGCAGUAACAC
rnacentral:rRNA from 1 species